AAAAAGACAAACUAUUUCCGUGUCCAACUUUAACUGUCCGUCUUAUAUGAAAUUUUUUUAUAAUUCGUAUUUUCAUUGUUGUUAGAUGAUAAAACAUGAUUAAUAUUUUAUGCGUAACUUGUCUUUUUAAUUUUUUUCAUAAUUUUUUCAAAUAAGAUGGACGGUCAAACGUUGGACACGGAAACCAGGGUUUGUCUUUUC
rfam:Oryza meridionalis cultivar OR44 (W2112) chromosome 3, whole genome shotgun sequence.